UGGGGAAUAUUGGACAAUGGGGGGAACCCUGAUCCAGCCAUGCCGCGUGUGUGAAGAAGGCCUUAUGGUUGUAAAGCACUUUAAGCGAGGAGGAGGGUACUGGUAUUAAUACUACCAGGUACUGGACGUUACUCGCAGAAUAAGCACCGGCUAACUCUGUGCCAGCAGCUGCGGUAAUACAGUGGGGGCGAGCGUUAAUCGGAUUUACUGGGCGUAAAGCGUGCGUAGGCGGCUAAUUGAGUCGGAUGUGAAAUCACCGAGCUUAACUAGGGAGUUGAAUUCGAUACUGGUUAGCUAGAGUGUGGGAGAGGAUGGUAGAAUACCAGGUGUAGCGGUGAAAUGCGUAGAGAUCUGGAGGAAUAACGAUAGCGAAGGCAGCCAUCUGGCCUAACACUGACGCUGAGGUACGAAAGCAUGGGGAGCAAACAGG
rnacentral:rRNA from 1 species